GAGGAGCCAUCUUGUCUCGUCGCCGGGGAGUCAGGCCCCUAAUUCGAAGAAGCCCUGGCGCGCCCUCCCCCCCUCCCCGGUCUGGUAGGGCGAAGGAGCGGGCGCGCGGUCGAUCGAGCGAUCGGUUGGCGGCUCUUUCUCCUGCUCUGGCAUCCAGCUCUUGGGGCGCAGGCCCGGCCGCCGCGGCGCGCGCCCGGUGGCCGUUGGCGCUCGCGCCGUGUCUUUCUUCUCGUACGCAGAACUCGGGCGGCGGCCUAUGCGUUUGCGAUUCGACGAGGAGUCGUCCGGGUGGUCGGCGGUGGCGGGCAGUUGCUCCGCCCCGCUCCCGGGGAGGCGGCGGCGGGAUUUGGCGCGUCUGGGGAAGCGGGGGUGGCCGGGGCGGGCCUGGAGGCCUGGCGCCACCCUUCGGGGCCUGCAAGGACCCAGUUGGAGGCACAGGAAGGUGCUGGGGGAUGGUUGGUGGUGGGCUUUCUACUUUGCCUUUUCCUCCUUAUGCCGCCUUAGUGAGAGGCGGGAGCUCUGGCGGCAGCUCGGGGGUGGGAGACAAGCUCCGGAGUCGGAAGAACUGGGUUUGCUUCCGGGCCUAGCCACCAGCUGGCCGAGUGACCUUAGGCAAGUCACUCUGUAAUAUGUCUGCGCCUCAGUUUCCUCCUCUGCCUAUCGAUGUUUGUGGAAUAAAAAUCGCUUUAUAAACUAUAAAGCGUCAGUGUACGUAAGGGAUAAUUAUCGUUUGUCAAUUUUUUUGAGUUGUAAGAAAACAGCAAUUGCCCAAUCCAUGGAUUUUGAACCUGGGAACCUUGGAUUGGAGUUGGAGAUCCCCAAACUCCCUGAAAUUGUAUGCAGAAAUUAGUGGGACUGUGCAUUUUAAGGGAACGAGGAUCCAUCUCCAACAAGUUUUCAAAAGGAGGUAUCACCUCUGAAGAGUUAAGAACCACAAUUUGUUUAUGCCAUAGGGAGGAAACUGAGGCCUAGAUGUCAUUUGAGAUCCUUCACAACCAAUUCGAAGCCCCUGUUUGAAUCCCUGGGAUAUGUGAGCUUUUUUGUGCAUAAUGGGUAUUCGGGGUAACAACACUCCACUGCUUGGCUUCUUUUCUGAUUCUUUUCUUUCCUUAUAGGGUGCCUGAAGGGUGGCUAAUGCAUAUGGUACUGUGGCACCUAUUAUAAAGCAGCGGAAAAUAAGAGUGGACAUGUUCUCUAGUGUCAAGAGGCAUAUUUAAUCUUUGGCCCAUUAACUGUUUGUUGCUGCUUAUACUGGUGCCUGACUGCCUUUCUGACUCUUUCACUGACCAUUUUCCACGACCAUGUUUGUCAUCUGUUACUUGCUCCUGUUUUAUAUCCCUAGUCUCUGUGGUUGGUGAUGAGCAGGUUUCUUUUUAAAUGGUGCUGCCAAGUCUAGCUAAUUAAUGGUGCAGGUGGAUUUUUAGCAAGCUGGCUCACUGGAACAGACUGAAUGAACCAGCCAUGGAAUUCCCAAAGAUAUUGGGGGUUAUCUUUAUUCAUUGAAGGUUAACAUUUGCUAAAAAGUUUUGUUGGAACCUCUGCUGAACCUCACAAUCAGUGGAUUUGGAAGUGUUUCAAAGCUUAACAUUUUCCUGGACUGCUUUGUAUUCUAUUUGCUUGCAAGUGUGUUACUACAGUGGCCAAAAUGCCAGUUUUUUGCUUCUUUGUUAAUUGUCAGCUGCUUUUAUCUAAUUCCAGGCUAUUGCCCAGCAAACACUAUAGAAAUGUUUGAACAGUUGGAUUCAGACAUUUUUGUUUUGUGGAGUGGUACAGCUCUAAGCAAGUGAACACACAAGUUUAAGUGUAUUUUGUCUGGUUAGGUGUUACCUGGUUCUGCUAUUGCAUACAAAUAUCUGGAAAAAGUCAAUUGACUGUACCCUUUACCUAAAGGGCAGAGACAAAUGAUCUCACUGCCAGAGAAAUAACUUUUUUGGAGAAAAAUGUAUUGGUCUUUUAGGUUUUUUGUAAUAAAAUCUGGAUGUACUACAAAAGAAUCACAAGACUGUGGUGAUAAGAUGCUUUUCUUGGCAGAAGGGGGAAAAAAACAACUGGAACUCUAAGCUUGAAAUUCUGUGACAAAAUGUGAGAUGUCCAGGAUAGAAGGUUGAAAGUGUUUCACUACAGUAUUCUUCACUAGCUGGAGCAGAUGUCUUUCAGUGUAGCCACGCAUGGGCUCCAGAUUUGCAAGACGGGGACCUGCAGGAGCUUGAUGAGGAUGUGACAAGAACUCUGAAGUUGGAUGCUUUUAUUUUUGAAUUUUGGGACUAUUGACCUCACUUUCAGAAGAGAGACUGACUAAACAAACAAUGCCACCAGCACUGUUACGGGGAAUUCGAAGUCCUGAGUUUCUGCCAGAUCCUCAGUUGCAAACUGGUGACGCUGCAUCCAAAGCAAACUACGACAGCAAACCCCUUGAGGAAAAAGGGAUCUUAACGAAUCUUUGCCCACACAUACUACCACAUAUGAUGAAGCUUUUAAUAGAACGGAGGAAUUUAGAAAGCAGGCUAUCUCUGAAUAAGCAUUCACCUACAGAUUUGGUACCUGGAUUUUUGCCCAUGGUGAUUCCUAUUAUCUUACUACUGAAGAAGACACCAUUCCAGUGGACCACUGUGACCCCAGGAGCAUUCAGCCAUCAUGAUGUGGCCUUCACCUACUUGUGUCCUAUUCUGCCCAGAUUGAGCACCACCCUUUAUGUGAUGAAGCCAAAUAGCUGAAGCUGUUUAAUCACAACAAAGGCCCAUAAGUGUGUAUUUUGUUUCUUCAGUUCAAACCUUCAGAGACACACAAUACAUUUGGAACAGGGGAUUUUUAGUUUUCAACACUGUCUAAAGAAUGGCAACAUCUUGAGAACAACAUUGGACCACAUCCCACAGUCUCAAAUGUUUGAAGUAUAUGAAGUGUCAAGAAUCCCAUCCAUGUCACUGGACACUGUUCUUUUCCACUUCAGAUCUGUAGUAUCCUACUGAAAGAGAAAGCAGAUAUUCAGACUUACUGGAAUUAAAACAAAGGCACAAUGAAGGCCUCAUAGCAUCUUCUUUGGGAUUACUCAGGAACCAGAACUUCUCACACAAAUGUAAGAAAUUUUACAAAGGAAUCCUUUACCUAACAGCAUCUCACAAGGCUUCAAUCAGAUUCCAGAAAAGGCCUCUUGAGACAUCCAGGUAGAACCUAUAUGCAUUUUGUGAACAACUUAUUCUUAGAUCAUUGGUUUUCCAAAGGCUUUGUGGCCAUGAAGCCCUUUGAAUGAAAACUAUGCGGAAACCUAAAGUAAAAGUGAAGCUGCUCUGGAUGAAGCAGGAGUGGGGGGCCUGAAACCUGCUACAAGCAUCUUCCUUUACCACCAUGGUGACACCUAAGGACUUCUUUACAACACCUAGAAUUCUUCAGAACACAUUCGAAAAACACUGCCCUAAACAACAAUACGUUUGACCUGAAUGGUAUUCUGAUCUGUACCUCUACUCAGUACAGUCCAUGUUCAAGUGGUACAGAAUAUUCGUAGGAAUACUUCUGUGGGCAAACUCAAAAAAGUCUAAGAAGAUCAGUAUGUCUUUGUCCAGCCCCACCCCCCAAGAAGUUAUAUGGGCUAAAAGUGGUUAUCAACUGGACCUAAAAUUACAGCCCUCUACCCCCGAUGGACUUCCAGUGAUUGCUGGGUUUGGAUCUAGACUGAGUGAUUCAUACGUACUUAACACUGACAAAAACCCCUUUGCCUAACAUCUUUCACAAAUACCAGAUGCUCUAGUGGUACUUGAAAUGUGAGUUUGAAGUCUUGAUUCUCCUUGAAUACCUGAAUUGCCAGGUGUUGACGCUGAUGCCUCAUUGAGGCUGUAGUAGACCAACUUGUACAUUUGGACCUCCCAUCAUCAGCUGUGGUACUCUAUUUCAUAUGCAAGUGAUAACCAUUAACUAUGAAGCAAAAUUCAGAUAUUGGCAACGUUAACUAAAAGGGUACCUGUUUUUUUUUUUCAUUCAUCUUACUCUCAGACUACAAGUUACUAUGACUCAACCAUUGGUGGUGUUACUGCUGUUUGGUUUUUAUUCAUUUCAACGUCUGUUUCUGGGAUAAAUGAGCUAAUAACCUUUAAAAAGCUAAAACAAUUCCUCCAUCAUUGGUAUAUCUGCCUGGCAUAUUCUGCUCUAAAAUUAUGAAUACUGAUCUCUAACUACAUGUAAGACCUGAUCUACAAGAGACAGUCUUUGAACAUCUUUUCUCAUGUAUGUGAUUUAAAAUGUGACCAUUUGGAAUAUUUUUUAUACCACUGAGCAUUUUUCCUUAAGGUGGGUCCUAUGAUGUCUGGUACCAUCAGCUGUAGGUAUUAAGGAUAUUUUGAGGUAGGCCUUUUGACUAGGCCGUGGUAGCUUACUUGCUGGGACUUUCAAGUUGGUGUAUCAUCUUUUUUUUUUUUCCUGGAUAUGUAGACAUGAAAAACAUCUACAAAGCCUACAGCUAUGGAUUUUAUCAGGAGACUCAAGCUUCCUGCUGCUGCUUCCUAAUGUCACAAGACCACAGUCCCUCAUUGUGGAUAUGUGCAUGGAAUUUUAGCUAUCUCGAUAACUGUUUUACACUGAUUCAGAGUGGCCAACUUCAUUCCUUGCCAUGAGAUGCUCUCAGGCAUUGAAACAACUUACCUGUUUUUGCAGGAAGGAUUCAGCUUAUGAACUUCCAGACCAGAUCAUGUUGAACAACUAGACUUUGAUUUAUAUCAUGAGAAGAGUCUCAUUUACUUCACAGUUGACUUAAGGGCCAGCUGUCCUCAACUACUUUCAUGAAUGCACUGGUUAAAUGUUGGGAAUGGUUUCUUUAUAUCUCUCUUAUCCACUAGACUAAUUAUGAUUACAUGACUUGGUCUGCAGAUCGUCCAAGUGGCCUAAGUCUGGUUACUCUCGCCAUCAACAAAUAAAAAUAAAAGAUGACUAUCCUGCUUGUAUAUACAACUAUUAUUUGUGAAGAAAAAAAUUAUCUACAAACUCAGUUUUCUUACUACCUUCAAAAUAUCAGCUGGAUUUUUUUCACCUGUACAGAAAAAGACAUCUAUACUGCCAUUCAUUCCCUUUAAUCCUGUCCCACUCAGUCAAAAUGAGGGGCUUAAAGUGAAGAUGACCACCUUUCAAGAGUCUAAUGAAUACCAUGUGUCAGAAUUGAUGGAUGAAAAAGCCUAAAAAUCAAGCUUAGGAACUUACCUACUAAUCUCCAUGCCUCAAAUCUCAUCUAAGUCUGUCCAGUAGCACCAUUCAACCAGUUUGAGGCCUUGACUUGCUUUUAAUUCCCAGAGAUGUGCUGAAUCAUAGAAGAUGGAGACUUGAUUACCAAAGAAAGUAGGGCCAACUUUGACAAACCCUAUCACAAGUGUAGCAUAAACACCUAAACAGAACCUCACUUGGACUGAGAAUAUAGCCUUUUCCUGAGCUGAACAUUCUUGGACAAAUGAGCUGCUGUACCUAACUGGCUAUUUAAGGUCAGAAAAUUGUAUCCAGAGUAAACGCUAUAGAUUAACCCUGGAGUGCUCAGGGUAAAAACUAAUUUUCAGAGCUUUGGUAUUAAACUCUGUGUUCUUCCAUAUUAUAUCCUGGUUAUUGGUAUGGCUGGCCCUGCUGAAGGUACCCUACUUACCUAUUUAUCUUACUCAGCCCCUGCCUGCCUUUGUUGACAUGUUUGUGCAAUCAGACUUGCUGUCUUCAAGAUGAUUACAACUGAUCUCAGCCUAUUUUAUACCCAGUUCCACCAAGAUUUUUGAACAGAAGCAACCUGUACCUCACCCCACCAGGACUUUAAUGUUCUCAACAGGAAGGACCAUGCUGCCUUUGACCAGCAGCAACCUUUUUUUUUUUUUUUUUUUUUUUUUUUUUUUAGUGCAGAGGAAGCCUCUAAGCGUGUAUAUAUUUGAUCAUUUUCAGCACCUGGGACCCCUUCUAUCAGAUCUGAAAGAGUACAGCAGAUCAAAAGCAGUCAGUUUCUCUCUUCUGCAGUAAUAUAGAAGUGAGUCUGAUUCACCAGUUCAGAAAUGAGAAAUGUUCAACUUGGCAAAAGACUUGAACACAAGAAAACUUUAUACGAACUUAAAAUUUACCAUUGACUUGAAAACCCUCACAUACUAUUUGCCAUUGGGAGGCUAGUUGUAUUGCAUUAUUGUCAACUUGAUAGUUGGGCUCUCCGACUCAUGUUAUAUUGAAGCUAUUGAAUCAUCCAGAGUAUGUUACUGGACAUGAUUAUUCCAUUCCAAUAAGUUUCCUGAGUACAGGAUAUAAUCCCCAUGAUGGUUUUGUUUUUGUUUUAAUGCUUUUAUUAAGAAAGUAACAGUGCCAGCUGUUAUCAUUCAACUUUAUGAGCAAAGAUUAAACUUUUAGAAUAUCCGGUCUUAUCACUGAUACUAUUUUUAAUUGACCAGCAAUUCAUUCCAUCUCUUUGUAACAGCUCCCUGAUGUUUCUUGGAACCAUAUCUAUUUUCAGUCUGCAUAGUUCAGACAGUCUGACCUAACCUUAAGUUUCAUGUUGGACACAUAGUUCAUACCUGAUCAGUCAACAAUCAUCUCCUUCACCAUAGUGAUUGAUUCAGGAAUGGUCAUGUGAUUCAAGUUGAUCCAGUGAUACUCAACCCUAGGAGUUUUACUGAACUAUGGAAGAAGAAAAGCUCAGAAACUCAAUUUACUGAGGUUGCUUAACUUUGUAGGAUGAAAAAAACCUCAGACCACCAGGAGUCCACCAUAUCAAAUGAGCCAGUCAGAAAAUGAAGCCAGUGCAGAGGAAAGCGGAGCCAAAUGAUGGAGACUUGAGUCCUGAUGACAAUGUUUGUGCUCCUGGAUCCACCCGUGCCUGAAGCUAGUAUAUCCUCUGGAUUUUUUCAGUUUUGUGAACCAAUAAAUACUCUUUUGUUUUAAGUUA